UCUUAGCACAGAUAGAAACGAAAAGUCCACGCUGUAAAACACUAAUUUUUCUUGUUAUAAAAGAGCGACCAACGGAAGCUCCUUUUAUGACUUAGAAAAAUGGUGUUUUACAGCGUGGACUUGUAGUGGAUAGCUGGAUUAGCU
rnacentral:sRNA from 1 species